AGCUCAUUUACUCCUCACAGCAACUCUAUGAAGUCCUCAGCCUUCUCUCCAUUCAGCUGGCAGAUAGAGUGAAGAUCAAGCCCGGUUGGGAGGACUUUAUGGGCCAAGCCUGGAAGUGGCCCCCAUGACUUCCGCUCACAUGUCAUUAUCCAGAACUCAGCCACAUGGCCUCACCUCAGUGCAAAGGAGGCUGGAAGAUGGGGCUAAUGGUCUUCCCAAGACCAGGGUGGAGAGGGUGGAUAUCUGUCUUUGGCACAUCUGGUGAGCUGCUGCCCCUUGGUCUGAUUUUUGUAUUCUACUCAUUCAGAAACCAUUUAUUCAGUACUACUGGGCAUCUAGUUCUUUUUGACUAAAAAUAUUAUUUUAGCCACUCAUAGCGAAUUAACAUACAAAUGUAAAACCAAAAUGGUUUGUUCAAAGUAGAGCAGCACUUCACACUGACAGUCUGAGUAUUUAGGAAAUGCUGCCUGAAACAAUAUGGUUGGACCUAGACAUGAUCACACUGAGUGAAGUAAGUCAGACUGAGAAAGUCAGAUAUUAUAUGAUAUCACUUAUAUGUGGAAUCGAAAAUGGGACACAGAAGGAGACUAUGAAACAGACUCACAGACAUGGAGAACAGGCUUGUAGUUGCCAAGGGGAACUUGGCAUUGGGAGUUUGGGAUUAGUAGAUGUAAACUAUGGGAACUUAGCAUUGGAUUGGGAGUUUGGAGUUAGCAGAUGCAAACUAUUAUAUAUAGAAUGGAUAAACAAUAAGCUCCUACUGUGCAGCAUAGGAAUAUAU
ensembl:lncRNA